rnacentral:rRNA from 1 species
UACUGAAGGUGCAAGCGUUAAUCGGAAUCACUGGGCGUAAAGCGCUCGUAGGUGGCUUUGUAAGUCAGAUGUGAAAGCCCACGGCUCAACCGUGGAAUUGCAUUUGAUACUGCAUCGCUAGAGUAUAGGAGAGGGAAGUGGAAUUUCUGGUGUAGGAGUGAAAUCUGUAGAGAUCAGAAGGAACACCGGUGGCGAAGGCGACUUCCUGGACUAUUACUGACACUGAGGAGCGAAAGCGUGGGGAGCAAACAGG